rnacentral:rRNA from 1 species
GGGGGGCUGCUAUACAUGCAGUCGUACGCUUCUUUUUCCACCGGAGCUUGCUCCACCGGAAAAAGAAGAGUGGCGAACGGGUGAGUAACACGUGGGUAACCUGCCCAUCAGAAGGGGAUAACACUUGGAAACAGGUGCUAAUACCGUAUAACAAUCGAAACCGCAUGGUUUUGAUUUGAAAGGCGCUUUCGGGUGUCGCUGAUGGAUGGACCCGCGGUGCAUUAGCUAGUUGGUGAGGUAACGGCUCACCAAGGCCACGAUGCAUAGCCGACCUGAGAGGGUGAUCGGCCACAUUGGGACUGAGACACGGCCCAAACUCCUACGGGAGGCAGCAGUAGGGAAUCUUCGGCAAUGGACGAAAGUCUGACCGAGCAACGCCGCGUGAGUGAAGAAGGUUUUCGGAUCGUAAAACUCUGUUGUUAGAGAAGAACAAGGAUGAGAGUAACUGUUCAUCCCUUGACGGUAUCUAACCAGAAAGCCACGGCUAACUACGUGCCAGCAGCCGCGGUAAUACGUAGGUGGCAAGCGUUGUCCGGAUUUAUUGGGCGUAAAGCGAGCGCAGGCGGUUUCUUAAGUCUGAUGUGAAAAGCCCCCGGCUCAACCGGGGAGGGUCAUUGGAAACUGGGAGACUUGAGUGCAGAAGAGGAGAGUGGAAUUCCAUGUGUAGCGGUGAAAUGCGUAGAUAUAUGGAGGAACACCAGUGGCGAAGGCGGCUCUCUGGUCUGAAACUGACGCUGAGGCUCGAAAGCGUGGGGAGCAAAACAGGAUUAGAUACCCUGGUAGUCCACGCCGAAAACGAUGAGUGCUUAAGUGUUUGGAGGGUUUCCCGCCCUUUCAG